rnacentral:rRNA from 1 species
GACAGAGGGUGCAACCGUUGUUCGGAUUUACUGGGCGUAAAGCGUGUGUAGGCGGCUUUGCAAGUCGGAUGUGAAAUCCCACGGCUCAACCGUGGAAGUGCAUCCGAAACGGCAUCGCUUGAGUCUCGGAGAGGAAGGUGGAAUGCUUGGUGUAGAGGUGAAAUUCGUAGAUAUCAAGCAGAACACCUGCGGCGAAGGCGGCCUUCUGGACGAUGACUGACGCUGAGACACGAAAGCGUGGGGAGCAAACAGG